CCUACGGGAGGCAGCAGUGGGGAAUUUUGGACAAUGGGCGCAAGCCUGAUCCAGCCAUGCCGCGUGCGGGAAGAAGGCCUUCGGGUUGUAAACCGCUUUUGUCAGGGAAGAAAUCCUUUGAGCUAACACCUCGGGGGGAUGACGGUACCUGAAGAAUAAGCACCGGCUAACUACGUGCCAGCAGCCGCGGUAAUACGUAGGGUGCGAGCGUUAAUCGGAAUUACUGGGCGUAAAGCGUGCGCAGGCGGUCUUGCAAGACAGGUGUGAAAUCCCCGGGCUUAACCUGGGAACUGCACUUGUGACUGCAAGGCUGGAGUACGGCAGAGGGGGAUGGAAUUCCGCGUGUAGCAGUGAAAUGCGUAGAUAUGCGGAGGAACACCGAUGGCGAAGGCAAUCCCCUGGGCCUGUACUGACGCUCAUGCACGAAAGCGUGGGGAGCAAACAGGAUUAGAUACCCUGGUAGUCCACGCCCUAAACGAUGUCAACUGGUUGUUGGACGGCUUGCUGUUCAGUACGAAGCUAACGCGUGAAGUUGACCGCCUGGGGAGUACGCGCGAGUAGAACGUAAGUAGAGUAGAGNGNGAGAGNGCGACGACGACGACGAGGGAGGAGG
rnacentral:rRNA from 1 species